GGACAGGUCCCUCUACUAAAGCAGUGCUUCUCAAAUAGUGGGGCGCGCCCCCCUUGGGGGGUGCGGUGCAAUACCUGGGGGGGCGCGUGUGACCCUGGGGAACAGGCUUUUUUUUUGGCAGUACUAGAAUAAAGUGUAAUUGCGCAUUUACUACAGUAGGCGGCAGUAGCGCUCUCAUUGUUACUUCUGUCACGUUUGCGACAGUGCAACAU